GGGAGGAGAGACACCAGAUAAUCAACACUAAAUGAUCCUGAAUCAUGAUGACCAAUUGCAAAAGCAACCAUGUACACUUAAGAGGACAGAAGCAUACGAAAUACAGAAGCAUACGCUUUGGAAGAUUCUUACAGAGUGAAGCUGUGUGUUUACCUGGCUGGGUGUUCCCAGGUGCUGUGUGUUUACCUGGCUGGGUGUUCCCAGGUGCUGUGUGUUUACCUGGCUGGGUGUUCCCAGGUGCUGUGUGUUUACCUGGCUGGGUGUUCCCAGGUGCUGUGUGUUUACCUGGCUGGGUGUUCCCAGGUGCUGUGUGUUUACCUGGCUGGGUGUUCCCAGGUGCUGUGUGUUUACCUGGCUGGGUGUUCCCAGGUGCUGUGUGUUUACCUGGCUGGGUGUUCCCAGGUGCUGUGUGUUUACCUGGCUGGGUGUUCUCAGGUGCUGUGUGUUUACCUGGCUGGGUGUUCUCAGGUGCUGUGUGUUUACCUGGCUGGGUGUUCUCAGGUGCUGUGUGUUUACCUGGCUGGGUGUUCCCAGGUACUAUGUGUUUACCUGGCUGGGUGUUCUCAGGUACUAUGUGUUUACCUGGCUGGGUGUUCUCAGGUACUAUGUGUUUACCUGGCUGGGUGUUCCCAGGUACUAUGUGUUUACCUGGCGCUGUGUGUUUACCUG